rnacentral:rRNA from 1 species
CAGUAGCCGCGGGAAUACGAAGGGUGCAAGCGUUAAUCGGAACUACUGGGCGUAAAGCGUGCGUAGGCGGUUUGUUAAGUCUGUUGUGAAAUCCCCGGGCUCAACCUGGGAAUGGCAAUGGAUACUGGCAAGCUAGAGUGUGUCAGAGGAUGGUGGAAUUCCCGGCGUAGCGGUGAAAUGCGUAGAGAUCGGGAGGAACAUCAGUGGCGAAGGCGGCCAUCCGGGACAACACUGACGCUGAGGCACGAAAGCGUGGGGAGCAAACAGGAUUAGAUACCCCCGUAGUCCCUGUCUCUUAUAC